AUUUAGUAAUUUGGCGCGUAUACCGAACGGGGUAUGGGAACAGCCCGUUAAUUGAGAAUGUUAAAGGAAAUGGUUCACGCAUAGUGGGGACAUCCUUAUGGACCCCCAUGGAUACCAGUAAGCUGAUGAAAAUGGACAGUUGUUGUUUUGAUUAAUUGAAUAUAGAAUUAUAAUAUGUGAAUGUUAUCGAUUGAAUAUAAAAUCAUGAUAAGUGAUAUGUUAUUGUUUAUAUAGCUUUUUUUUGUAAAUCUCG
rnacentral:lncRNA from 1 species